CAGCACCUCAAGUGGUCAGGAUGAUUAUUGGGCCUAAAGCAUCCGUAGCCGGCUCUGUAAGUUUUCGGUUAAAUCUGUACGCUCAACGUACAGGCUGCCGGGAAUACUGCAGAGCUAGGGAGUGGGAGAGGUAGACGGUACUCGGUAGGAAGGGGUAAAAUCCUUUGAUCUAUUGAUGACCACCUGUGGCGAAGGCGGUCUACCAGAACACGUCCGACGGUGAGGGAUGAAAGCUGGGGGAGCAAACCGGAUUAGAUACCCAAGUAGUCC
rnacentral:rRNA from 1 species